rnacentral:rRNA from 1 species
AACCCUUGUCCUUAGUUACCAGCACGUUAUGUGGGCACUCUAAGGAGACUGCCGGUGCAAACCGGAGGAAGGUGGGGAUGACGUCAAGUCAUCAUGGCCCUUACUCCGGGGCUACACACGUGCUACAAUGGCCGGUACAAAGGGUUGCGAAGCCGUGAGGUGGAGCGAAUCUCAAAAAGCCGGCCUCAGUUCGGAUUGGAGGCUGCAACUCGCCUCCAUGAAGUCGGAAUCGCUAGUAACCGCAGAUCAGCUACGUUGCGGUGAAUACGUUCCCGGGCCUU